GGACCCUGUAGUUUCAGGAAAACUCAAGGGAGCUCAAGAUUCCCACUAAUUCUGCAAUAUGGAAUCUUAAGAGACCAUUUAUCUAUAUUGUGGUAAAAUAGUAAAAAUGUCACGCAAUCAGUGAAUCUUUACUGGGAACACAUAAACUACAGCACAUUGGAACAAUCUGUAAACAAACAGCGAAAUACAUCAGUUUGUCUGCUUGUUGUAGAAGCUUACUGGAGACUAAAGAACUGAGCUUAUGAUACAGUGCCUCCUGUUUUCCCGGCAAGUACCUGAUGUCAUGGUUUUCUUGAGCUCAAAGUUGAAGACCCACGGUGAUAGAAGAAAACUAUGACCAGAUGCUCUAUCAUCUUUCAAUAAAACGUAUCCAGAAAACUUGCUGAGGAUGCUGGUGAAGGAAGACAUCGGUGAUUAAAGUUCUUCUCUCUCAUCUGGACAAAACCAGCUCCACCUUUAACUUCUCAAAACUUGAGUCCUCACUUCUAGUAUCAAUUCUCAUUAUUCAUAAGGGGGUUUAGUUUUCAGUUUGAAAUGUCAAAAGCCCAACUAGAUCUAACUUAAGGAAAUGAACACUAUUAUUUUAAGAGUACUGAAUAGAGAAAUCUAGCGAUGUUACAGACAGGAAUGAGGGAUGUGGUGUGAUACUACUGGAUCUCUUUUUGACUGUUUCUUCACUAGCUUUCCCUACAGAUCAUCUUAUCCUCAUGUGUUUAUUUGUGUGUUAACAAAUGUGCUGUUUGGUGGAGUUAUAUUCUUAUAACUUUUUACUCCUAAGUGGAGAAGGACAUUUCUUUGUUGGUAGAUCUAGGGUUAAAUUCUAAAAUAGGGCUUCUAGAUUGUAUAAGUUGGGUUAGGUGGACACUCUGAAAUCAACUGUGUGACCUAAGGGAUGAUUUACUGUGACUGACCAGGUCUCAGUCACAAAUUCAUUCUUGCUAUCAACUGGUAGGGUCUGUGCCCAGGAGAGGAAGAAGGGUGUUAAGCAAAUGAAAACAACAAGAGAAAUAAUUGUUAUGCACUGUCAUGGUUAUUGCAAUUCAAGCAGGUAGAGCCUGCUGUAGGAGGAGAGAGGAGAGGAUGGGGGAAACCAUCUUGUGCAUCUUACUAGACUAAAAAAUGUUUAAGGUCAGAGACUGGGCCCUAUUUGUCUUUGUACUCACAUAACUUAGCACAGGAAUUUUUAAGAGGGUAGACAUUUACAAAAUGUUUAUAUCUAGAAAGAAAAAGCAGAAAGAAAACAAGAAAUGAGAUUCCAUUCUGGGAAUGGUUUAGCUUCCUUAAGGAAGGCUUACUCUGGGACAGGGGAUGGAUAUUGGGAUGAGGUCUGAGUGUUGGUCAGCAGAAUCUGGAGUUGGAGGGGGAAAGGGAAACACAUCAUGCAUUUCAAAUCCCAGAGUUGUAAUCAUUUCCUUUACUGUCAGGUGUGCCAGCAACUGCCUUUCAGCUGCCAGUUAGACCUUGGCAUACCAUACAUAAAAUCCUCUCUGAAAUCUUGCAGCACACUCUUAGUUUGACAAAUUCAAAAUUCAUCUUUUUUUUACAGUUGCUACUGUGUCAAAGUAAUUUAAAAAUUGAAGAGCCACCUGGCAGACCUACUCCAGAGAGUAGGUCUGGCCUCAUAAUUUAGUUUUUCCAAAUUUCAUGACAUGCUGAUUGGGCCAGUGUUGGAACAGGUAAAGCCAGAACCAUGGUAGGCACUGGGCAGAAUCACUGUCAAGCUUUGGAAAGGAAGUGGUGUCUUAUUCAUAAACAGUGAAUUAAAUAGUAAGUGUAAAGUGAGACCACCAGUCUUUCCAUGAAAGAGGUUAACUGGUUUUACAUCCUAUAGCAGGAACAACUGGAAAGGGAUGGAGAGAAAUACCUGGCUUCACACAUGCUCCUGCUAUUUAUCUCUUCAUUCAAAUCCAUUGAAGGAUAUUCCAAUACACCUGAUUUUUUCCAACCAAAGGAGGUAUAACAUCUUUUUAGCAGGGACCAUGGGAUGUAAGCAUUGUAUUCUUGGUGUUGUCAUAGAGUAAGAGGUAAAAAAAUAACAAAAAAAAGUUACAGCAAAAAACUAAAACGUCAGUAGGAAAAUAGACAUAAAUCUUGGUGCUAUAAACACGGUGAUGAAGAAAACUAAUUUUCCAACCUCCUGAAUUUGUUCCAGAGACAGGAAGCGAGUGCCUGUCCAAGCUCUUCAGAGUGGGGCUGCAGGUGGAGGGAGUUGGUGCUUAGGAUGCUGCAGUUGCAGACCAGGAAGCCUGUGCACGUGCAUGGGAUUGACAAAGACCUCAUAAAGGAAGUGGCAUUUGGGCAAUUCCAAAUAAUGUCCUCUUCAUGGUAGAUUGUAGUAGUCAGCUUUCCUGUCACUGCAACAAAAUACCUGACACCUACAAAUUAAAGGAGGAAAGGUUUAAUUUAGUUCCUGGUUCAGCCUAAGUGGCUCCAAGGCAAAAACAUGAUGGCAGAAGGGCAUAACAGAAUGAAGAUACUCAGUUCAUGGCAGGCAGGAAGCAGAGGAGGGGCAGAGCAUCGGACAGGAAGGGACAUGGGACAAUAUAUAGUACCAAAGGUGACUCCUCUAUGACCCGCCCAGACACACCCAAAAGAGUGCUGCAGUGAUUCCUUUGGCAGAUCCCAAGCCAAUCAAGUUGACACACAUGGACAUUCAAUGUGUAUUUGUUGACUGAAUAAAUGAGCAUUGAAAAAUGUGUAUACAUUUGUCAAGAGAAGAACUGGACAAAGAAAAAGCAUUCUGGGUGAAAGGAAAUGGGAGCUACAAAGACCUAGAGGCAUAGAAGUGCCCUGUAUGACUGGAAAGUGGCUGACAGUAUGAUCUUGGGUAAAUGUUUGGCUUCCUCUGGAUAGCAGUGUUUCUUCAUAAAGCUGCUGAUAUCUAUCAGGAGGUAUGACUGACUUAUAACUGAAAAACACAAGGAUGUAGCCAAAUGCCUGGUAGUUCAUUGAACGUUAUUAUUACUUUUUUUCUCCACUUUAAUUAUUUUGUGCCACUGCUACUACUGAUUUUGGGCUGUUAGGUUGAGAGGGUUGCAAUAAUUCAUACAGGGUCACGCUGCCUGGAGGGAAUGACCCAGAGAUUGAAAGGCUACUCUGUCUGUCAACCAGUGGUUUAGCUGGAUACCAUUUUCCCAGUGCAGUUGGAAGCCUGUGGUAGGGGGACAGAAACCAUCUUGGGUGCUCUGCAGAAGAGACACCCAACUCUGCCACCUGGGUGCAGGACUCAGAAUGCACUGCCUUUCAAAUUGCUUCGGAAUUUUUCAAAAGACAUGGCUGAGAUAAAAUGCUGUUGAAAUUCAUGGCAACAGGAUAUCAACUGUUUUCCUUGGAGCCGCAGCAGCCUCACUUUCUCCACUUAGCUUCUAAUCCAUUAUUAAAAGCAAACAAGUGUGUUGACCGUUCUGCAUGAGCUUUCUCAAGCAGCAAAGGAAACCAGGUUAUCCAUUCCUUCUGCACUGCUGCAGCCACCUGGGCACCGGGGAAGAAACUGGGACUUUUCUCAUAAAAGUCGUGUUUGCUUACACGCCGAGGCCCUCCAGCCCCAUUUCCUGUAGAGCGACACCCCAGCUCUCAGCAGCAGCUCUGGGAAGGGAAAGUGGCAGGGCUUAUGCCGGCGCAUUCCAGUCUCUGCUUCACCCUGGAGGUCCCCGAUCUUCUAGGCCAGUGCACAGGAGGGAUCUCUCUUGGCACUUAGUAAAGACCACACCCAGCAGGAAUGAGGCACCGAGGAGUCUUGUCCCAUCUGAAGCCACUUCAUAAAAUCAUGCCGAGGUAGACCUGGAGCCAAAAGGAAAACGUAAGAGAGUGGGUGUUGGGAGAAGGACUCAGAAGGGGUGUUGGAGAUAUCACUGCAUUAGCCUAACAUUAAUCACCAGCGGAUUUCUUCCUUCUCCUCCUCUCUUUGUUCCGCAGCUCUGUGGCAUCACCACAGUCAUCAUUCAUCGACCUGCUUGGCAUUGCCUGUCAUCAUGGGAAGAGGCAUCUGCUUUAAUAAUCAACCCACUGGAUCUCCAGCUCCUGGAGCGCAAAUGCCAAUGCCUAUUUAUUAUCUGUGUACACCUUGCACAUAGGUCAGAAAUGAACCUUGUUAUUAAUUAAGUUUAUUGGUACUUUCAAGUAUGCAUAAUAUUCACUUUCAUCAUAGGGACUUUGUACCUAUACAUGACUUACUUCAA